rnacentral:misc_RNA from 1 species
CAGAGUUCAUGCCCUUCGGGGUAGAUCUCCCACCCUUGAAUAUACACCUUUGUUGCUUUGGCGGGCCGCGCUUGCGCGUUGGCUCCGGCUAACUGUGCCCGCCAGAGGACCCCAACUCUUUUGUUUAGUGAUGUCUGAGUACUAUAUAAUAGUUA